UCUAGGUGUGCAAAUUGGCCUUGUAAAGUGCAUUGUGAGCCUGGUGCCCAUGGCUCACGCCUGUCAUCCUAGCUACUCAGGAGGCUGAGACCUGAAGAUCGAAGUUC